GGGACAUUAGUUUAGUCGGUAGAACGUCAGUCUCAUAAUCUGAAGGUCGUGAGUUCGAGUCUCACAUGUCCCA